CGGGCCCCGCCGCGCGCCCGCCGCCGCCGCCGGGCCGUGACCUUCAGGGACGGAGCGCGCAGAGCGGGGCCCCUGAGGGUGCGGAGAGAGCUGGUGGACACGGAGUCUCUGUUCAGCUGUGCUACGGAGGUUGUGACGACAUCUCCAUCGCGGGCCACCCCCGGCGGCCCAGGACUCCAAUGUGAAGGGGCGGCGGAUCCCGGCAGCUCAGUGCGCGGCCCUUUUCUGGAGACUGCGGAGCAGCGUGGCCUCCCAGCCACACUGUGGGGGUGAAGGGUGGGGUGGGCACCCAGGGGGUUAGAGCCAUUGCCCUGUCACUCAUGAUGCCAAGCCAUUCCCAGGCGGCCAGGACUCACAGGCACUGCCUCCUCGGGGCCACGCUGCCGUCUGCCCCCUCCAUACCCACUUGUGUUCCCAGCCAGCCACCCCGCCCGCCCGCCCGGCCCCUUCUGUUGUGAAGUUCUCAUCAGCCUUCCCCUUGUGCAGAGUCUCACCUGACAGGGGUCCCGACGCCCGUCGGAAGGGUUUGUCCUGUCCCCCAAGGCCAGACAAGUUCAGGGGACAGUCCCCUCCAGCUUAAACCAUCGUUGAGGUAGUUGCCACGGGGGCCUGGGCCACGUAAUCUCAGAAGCAGUGCAGCCGUGGAAGGCACGGGAAGCACGCCCAGCGCUGUCCGGUCCCCUCGUGUGUGCUGAGCCCCGGAAGGCACAGCCGCCCUCUGAGGUGCAGACUAGACUUCGCACAUGCAAUGCGACAGCUCCGCCGAAUUCCAGACGCGCGUCUAGCAGUAGCUCAUUGGGACCCGACGCCACGCGCCAGGCGCUUUCGUGGGGGCGCCCCGCGGGCAAGCGGCCCUGCCUCGGCCGGCCACCGCGAAGGACAGCUGUCUUCCCUCCGCUUUGUUCAAAGGAAAAUCCAGGUGGGCCCCGCCGGGUGGGGCGUGCGCGUCUCCAGGAAUGUCCGCGGCCUCGAGCCACCCGGCCACACCCGCCCGCCCGCCCCGUCCGUACGCGCCCGGUGAGCAGCCACGCUCUCCUUCCUCGCGAGCAUCCUUCUCUUCCGCAGGUGUGAUGUCCGUACGGCGCCUUCCGUGUUGUUUUGUUAUAGCUUCCGCCUCCUCGCGUGGAGAGAGGCCGUAAAGACAAAGCUCAGACAUUAUGGCUAUUCCAGAAAAUAAAAUAUUUUUGAAACCGCA